UGGAAGAUUCUAACCUGCCGCAGGUUCGGGUCGAACGCAGUGAGACAACGGAGCCGUUUACGGCGACGGCCCGAAGGGCGAGCGAAGCGAGUCAUCCUGCACGACCCACCA
rnacentral:sRNA from 1 species